GGAACAAAGGGGAUGAUAGUCGGGAAAACCUUAAGCUUCAAUUUCCCUCUUUAUGAAAUAAAUCUUCAAUCAGGCAAAUCUGUGACAGAAGCUCGGUACAUAUUUGAUAUACUCUCAGACUCACAGGCCCCCUUUUCCGAUUUCUGUUCGCAAACUACAUCUGUAAAGUCAAUUUUAGAUAGCCCUGUUCUUCAAUCACCAAAAAAUAUGCAGCUGGAAAAUGAUAUGCUAUUGGCUCAAAUAUUACAAACUGAGUUAGAAAAUGAAGAUGCUGAAACUGAUACUAUAUUAAAAAACAGAGUACAUGAAACAAAUAAAGAGAAUGAAACACAUGAAAAUUUAAGUUGCAAAUGCACGUGUUGCUGAUGACGAUAUUGAAAUAUUUUGCCAGGAACAGGCCAAUUAAAAUACUAACAGGAAAACCAUAUCUGACAUGGAAAUUCUCACUGAUUUCAUGAAAAAUGCAGUGAAAGAUUCUAAAGAUAUAUGCCAAAUCCCUUCAGUUGAGUUAAACACUAUGAUAUGUAAAUUUUUAUCGAUGUUUGUCAGAGAAAUGGUUCGGAAUAUGAACCUUCAACAGUUCGAAGAAUGAUCUGUAGUUUUGAUCGGUACCUUCGAUCAAUCAUCUAUGGCACAUCCAUAAAAAAAGGGGGAUACCUUUGACCAGGCACGUCGUGUUCUUUCAGUCAAAACAUGGAUUUAAACAAAAUGGGUAAAAGCAACGAACCCAAUAAGGCCCAAGCACUGACAGAAGAGGAGGUUGAUCGCUUGUUUGAGACCGGUCAAAUGGGAAUGCAACAUCCAGAUGCUUUAUUAAGAAUGUUGUGGUUUUUUAAUACAGUGCAUGUUGGAAUGCGAACUGUUACAGAACAUGUAAAAAUGAAAUGGAGAGACAUAAAAUAAUGUGCAGGCAAAACAGGGGCAGAAUAUUUGCAAUAUUCUGAAAGGGUCACAAAAUCAAGAACAGGGACUAAUCCAGGAAAUAUCAGAGAAGUUCCUCCAAAGCCAUGGUGUAACUUAUCUAAGAUAUUUGCUUUAGGGGUAAAAAGCCCUUAGUGUUUCAAAUAAUUCAAAAUUUUAUAAUGGGUAUAUUUACAGGAAACGAACAUUUGAACAGUUUGGAUGUGACCAUGCCACUGAAAAGAGAUUGGAAGAUUUAAAAUUAUGGUUGUGUCGAAUUUGAGUGUCUGAACAA
rnacentral:lncRNA from 1 species